UCAUUAUUAUUAGCAUCAAAUGAAAGAAGUGAACUGAAAAGGAAUCUCGAGACAAAAGAUCAGAAAAUUAAUGACUUAAAGGUGUCUGCUCAAGAGAAAGAUGAAGAAAUAAAAGGUGCCAAGGAAAGAGUAGAAGAACUGGAGAGGUCUUUAUCAUUAGCAUCAGCUGAUAUAAACAAGCUGAAAAGAAGCCUUGAGACAAAAGAUCAGGAAAUUGAUGAUUUAAAGGUUUCUAUCAAAGAGAAAGACAAUGGU